rnacentral:misc_RNA from 1 species
CCAAACUUGGUCAUUUAGAGGAAGUAAAAGUCGUAACAAGGUAACCGUAGGUGAACCUGCGGUUGGAUCAUUAUCGUGGCUUGCUGCUGUGCUUUAUUGUCUUUUUGUGUUUGUGUUUGUCUGGUUGCGGGGUUCGUCUUUUGGUCUUUGGUCUUUGGUUGCAGUUGGUGUUCACUGACUCGUGACCAACAGGACUCGUGGCCGACAGGACUCGUGACAGACCAAACACAACACCAACAAAACAGAUUCUACGAGAUUAUUGCAAUGAAAUCAAAACAACUUUUGACAACGGAUCUCUUGGCUCUCGCAUCGAUGAAGAACGCAGC